rnacentral:rRNA from 1 species
UACGUAGGUGGCGAGCGUUAUCCGGAAUGAUUGGGCGUAAAGGGUGCGUAGGCGGCCUGCUAAGUCUGGAGUGAAAGGUACCGGCUCAACCGGUACAGGCUCUGGAAACUGGCGGGCUAGAGAGCAGGAGAGGGCGGUGGAACUCCAUGUGUAGCGGUGAAAUGCGUAGAUAUACGGAGGAACACCGGUGGCGAAAGCGGCUCUCUGGCCUGUAACUGACACUGAGGCUCGAAAGCGUGGGGAGCAAACAGG